UCAGCAAGUACGUGAUCGUCAAGCCAAUGCGGCAAGCAGAUUCGCAGAAAAUGGUAGCGUUUUUAGAAGAAGAGGUAUGCCUUAAGUUCUCACGCCCACGGCUAAUAUUAUCCGACAAUGGAAAGCAGUUUCAAUCUAUGGUUUUCAAAUCCUGGCUUGCGAGACACAAGAUCGGCCAUAUGAAAACAGCAUUCUAUUGUCCGCAGGUCAAUAACACCGAACGCGUCAACCGAGUCGUAGUUACUUGCAUCCGAGCGCUGCUGGACGGCGAUCAUCGAGAGUGGGAUGAGAAGUUACCGGCAAUCACGGCGGCAAUAAACGCAGCAAGGCACGAAGCAACGGGCGUAAGUCCACACGAAGCGAAUUUUGGACGGAACCUACUGUUGCAUACAGACCUCUACACGCAGCAAGAACUGAACACUCCGGAGGAUCCUAAGGUAGCGCAGGAAAUGAGGCUAUCGACCAUUCGCCGAAUUCAGAAGCUGAUAACUGAACGCAUCAAGAACAGCCACCAACGAGCAAAGCAGCGAUACAACCUCCGCGCGAGAUCUGUAGUAUUCAAAGUCGGAGAUCUGGUAUGGAGGCGAUCAUUUGUACUCUCAUCGAAAGCGGAACAGAUCAGCAGCAAACUAGAGCCGAAAUUCGUUCCGGCAAUCGUCAAGGACAUCCUUGGAACGAACCUGUACGUGUUAGAAGACAUUUUGAGUGGGAAGAAAGGCAGGUAUCACGCAAAGGAUAUCAAAGCCGACUGAAACGAACAAAGUCCAGCUAUGUCGGCAGGUUCACCCUGCUAACCACGAGCAUUGUGCCUCAAAAACACCGUUAGCCGAUCGGGAUAAAUCGUGCCCUGUCAUGGUGUGGCGAGCAAUAACUUUUUUCAAACUACCUCCCCACCAUGGCACACCAGCCAGCGUCAGUUGGAUUCGAGGAGCUGUCUUGGAAGGCCCAUGACAACUCGCAGUCGCAGCAAGGAGCUGUCGAGACGUGAGGGACGGGACAGGACUUCCAGCAACAAGGACAGAAACCUGCCAACCACAGGCGCGCCGUUAGCGAAUCGGGAGAAAACGCAUUUCGGGGAAGCAGAAGCCUUAGCAGGCGUUCCGUUCACGAAUCGGGAGAAAUCGUACCCUGCAGACUGUAAGCGGGUUGCAGGGAACUCAGCAGUACAGCAUAUAGUUUUCUGGAUAGGAGGAGCGGAGACCCGGGGAUCGACGACUGCAAAUCGGUUCGGCGCGGAGUCGAUGCUUACGGUCACUAUCAGGCACAGGUGUGGUACUGAUAGAGAAGAGAGCGGAAACAGAAUGGGAUAAGACUACGCACAUCAUAGAGCUAUGAGUUGCAUCAGCUACCAAAAAUCAAAACACGAUAUCGGCACUACAAACACAUCUACGACUGGAUUGAUGUACACAAACCCCCUCAGUGUUUCCAGUAAGAUAGAAUGCGUGGCCAAGGGUUAAUGAUCUGGGGAUCGUCAUGAAAUCUUCAACCCAAAGCAACGCGAACCAGGGCGCGGUAAAACCCUAUUUUCGGGCUCAUGGCGAUUUAGUCGCAGAAAUGCUUCUUUUCUCAGUAAUAAGCACAAACCAAAACAAACCAAUUUUGUCCUUGUAAACAUAGCACCUUAUUGUUUCAUGUGAGAUUAAGUCUAUUUUAGCCAAUACAAUAGACUAGAAUCCGAUUUGUAUGUUUUGCCGUAGUUAGAUCGGUUUUGAGAAAGGUGGACAAGGACUUUGGUCAGAGACAAUUUGAGAGGUCGAAGAUUCUGCCAGAGGAACCUGGCGUGAUUAUGUAACUAUGGGAUUAGGUUUAAGAUAAUGCAGUGUAGGCGACAGUCAUGAUUUGAUUUGGCAAGCAACUAAGGCUUGCAGAUAAAGAUAUAUUGAGGUGAUGAAUAAGGAUGAAUAACUUGAGGUAUGCUCAAGAGCUUAGUUGACCGAUUUGUCUCUGACCAUCAUCCUAAGGGAUGAGUUAAGAUUUUGUGAAUUUUUCAUAAAUCGUUCGAUCACCGAUUUAUGAAAAAUUCUUCCGCUACGGUAGAGUUGUGUUACGUUUAUUUUGUUUAGUAACGUAAUAAAAUAUAAGCCCUAAGAUACAGUACAGAAACAAAUGAAAUGAUUGUGAAAUGAGAGGCAGAUGUCGCCACGCACGUCAACAACAAAGCAACCCUGCAUCAAUCAGACAGUAGCAACUGUCACCGCAAUACACACGCAUACCACCCGUCGUCGAAGAAAAUCUUUUUUGACGUGAGGAAGUAGCAACGGUGUCAGUCAGAAAAAGCAGACCGCGGAAGAGGCACUUUUUCGGAAAGAGGUUAGUGCGGAAAGUUUAAACGGCCGGAAGACAACCCGGAGUGGUUCGCUGUCGUGUCCAGUGAAGGGGACAGAUCAGGCCAACAACGAACGAUUGCGCGCGACUCGGUAAGCGUUGGCGAAAUACUGGUGACGGGCCAUCGAAGCCAGAAAGCCGCUCGAACGGUACGACAUUGCCACGUGGGGGAGUUAACCUCAAAACGACGGUUCGCCGGCGACGCAACCGGUGGAGAUUGGCGAACAAGGACCGAUAAACUGAUAAGGACUGAGGAUUAGCGAUCAACUAUUUGCUCAAGCGGCAUAAAAACGAUUCACACAGAUCGUCGGCAACAAGUGCAAAAGGUUGCGCGAACGCACCGCACGGAAAAGGCCUUCCAAAGGAAGGCCUUUAUUUUCAGGUCUGAAUCAGAGCGUACGGACUGCAAGCGGGUUCGGUCAGCAACCUACGAGGAAAGACGGCAGUACAGAACGAAUCGAUCGGCUCUGAGUCUUCGACGACGACUAUACUUCACACCAGCACGGAGGAUAAGUUAUCCGCGGGAGCAUGACGGCACGGCCCAUUGGUGUGAACUGCAGUAUGCAUCUCCGGGAAAAAACGGCGUGGCGGACAUGGUAGGGGUGCACCCACAGCAAGCGUGAGUAAGAAGAAAAGAGAAUAGGUAGAAUAAGUAGAUAGAGGAGAAGAGAGAACAGAAGGAGUAAUGAGUAAAAUAAAAAGCAGAUAAAGCAGGGCAAUGGAAGGAGAAUAAAGUUUGUGUCGAUGAAAA